rnacentral:rRNA from 1 species
CCUACGGGAGGCAGCAGUAGGGAAUCUUCCGCAAUGGACGAUGUCUGACGGAGCAACGCCGCGUGAGCGAUGAAGGCCUUCGGGUCGUAAAGCUCUGUUGUCAGAGAAGAACAAGUACCGGAGUAACUGCCGGUACCUUGACGGUACCUGACCAGAAAGCCACGGCUAACUACGUGCCAGCAGCCGCGGUAAUACGUAGGUGGCAAGCGUUGUCCGGAAUUAUUGGGCGUAAAGCGCGCGCAGGCGGUUCCUUAAGUCUGAUGUGAAAGCCCCCGGCUCAACCGGGGAGGGUCAUUGGAAACUGGGGAACUUGAGUGCAGAAGAGGAGAGCGGAAUUCCACGUGUAGCGGUGAAAUGCGUAGAGAUGUGGAGGAACACCAGUGGCGAAGGCGGCUCUCUGGUCUGUAACUGACGCUGAGGCGCGAAAGCGUGGGGAGCGAACAGGAUUAGAUACCCUGGUAGUCCACGCCGUAAACGAUGAGUGCUAAGUGUUAGAGGGUUUCCGCCCUUUAGUGCUGCAGCAAACGCAUUAAGCACUCCGCCUGGGGAGUACGGCCGCAAGGCUGAAACUCAAAGGAAUUGACGG